ensembl:snRNA U6 U6 spliceosomal RNA
GUGCUUCCUGUGGCAUUACCUAUACUAACACUGAAACACUUCAGAAAAGACCAGCACAGCUUCUGUCCAAGGAAGACAUGUAAACUAGUGGCAGGUCAGUAUUUUUG